UUUAGUCCACAACCUUUCGUCGCUCAUUAGCCAUACAUCAAUCUGAUAUGCAAAAAUAAAGUCAUUGAUAUCCUUGCGCACUAGCAGGGCAAUGGACUCCUUAAAGAGAGUAAUUAAAGCAUCAAUGACACCUGAUAUAUUAGGCCCUGGAAUCUCACCAAACACUUCAUUUUGCACCACUGCUUAAUGUACUCCAAUAAUAAACUCCAUUAACAGUUUAACACAGGUUGAGCACAAGGAGAGUUUUCCAUGUAUUGUCAAAGCUGCAUGAAUGCUAGAUUUCUCCAACAGUCUUUGCCUAAAGAGUAAACGGCAGCAAACACACGAUCAAUGUUCCAGUACUCUUCUUCAUUCCAAAAAUUCAUAACGUAGAUCACUUUGUAAUCUUGACUUAAUGGAUCAAACCCAAAGCCAAAUAUAUCUCUAAAAUGACCGCGAGGCAUGCUGAUUUUGAUGUUAUUUGGUGGAAGUGGCCUAAACUCUCUUAGAGUUGGGUUCCACAGAGCCAAACGAUUAUCAGAAGUCAACGUUUUGUACAAGAAAUAUAUACCAUUGACGGGACCAAAGAUCUCAGUCAAUUGAGUAGGGAAAUCACACCGGGCAAUAUUUUAUUUUCUCAGGCCGCAGAACAGAGUUGCUUGAUUGUGAGGGAAUGUCGCAAAAGUGUAAUCAAAGACGGGUUGGGUUUUUUUCCAAGUGAUUGAGGUGUUCUCGAACAAAAGAAGAACUUGUAAUACCAAUUCUUGCGCACACAGUUGAAUCGUGAUAGAGAUUCCACAGGUAGCCUCACUAGAAUCUUUGUUACCAAAGCUUCUGGCAAAGAGCGGGCCUUUUAAUGAAGAGUCCACAAGCUUUUGGUGAAGUUAGAUAGGGACUCUACUUAUUGGAGCCAAGAAGGUUUAAGUCUAAGGGUCUAUGUAGUAGCAAUGUACUUUCAAUUUCACAAGGAAGAAAUUCCAUUUCAGAGUCUGUUUCUAGUCCAGUUCAAGCUAAUGCUACUUCUGAUGUUAAACUUUGGCAUGUAAGAUUGGGACACCUCCCAUUUUCAGCAAUGAAAUAUUCAGAUUUCCUUCA